rnacentral:rRNA from 1 species
UAAUACGAAGGUGGCAAGCGUUGUUCGGAUUCACUGGGCGUACAGGGAGCGUAGGCGGUUGGGUAAGCCCUCCGUGAAAUCUCCGGGCCUAACCCGGAAAGUGCAGAGGGGACUGCUUGGCUAGAGGAUGGGAGAGGAGCGCGGAAUUCCCGGUGUAGCGGUGAAAUGCGUAGAGAUCGGGAGGAAGGCCGGUGGCGAAGGCGGCGCUCUGGAACAUUUCUGACGCUGAGGCUCGAAAGCGUGGGGAGCAAACAGGAUUAGAUACCCUGGUAGUCCACGCCUUAAACUAUGGAUACUAAGUGUCGGCGGGUUACCGCCGGUGCCGCAGCUAACGCAGUAAGUAUCCCGCCUGGGAAGUACGGCCGCAAGGUUGAAACUUAAAGGAAUUGACGG